rnacentral:pre_miRNA from 1 species
UCUUAUGGAUGAGCAAAAAAAGUGGUUUCUUCAGAGGGCAUCUACCUCUGGUGAAGAUGCUGUGAA